UGGGGAAUAUUGGACAAUGGGCGAAAGCCUGAUCCAGCCAUGCCGCGUGUGUGAAGAAGGUCUUCGGAUUGUAAAGCACUUUAAGUUGGGAGGAAGGGCAGUAAGCUAAUACCUUGCUGUUUUGACGUUACCGACAGAAUAAGCACCGGCUAACUCUGUGCAAG
rnacentral:rRNA from 1 species